rnacentral:rRNA from 1 species
CACGCAGGCGGUUUUUUAAGUCAGAUGUGAAAGGUACCGGCUCAACCGGUGACAUGCAUUUGAAACUGAAAGACUUGAGUAUUGGAGAGGCAAGUGGAAUUCCUAGUGUAGCGGUGAAAUGCGUAGAUAUUAGGAGGAAUACCAGUGGCGAAGGCGACUUUCUGGACACAAACUGACGCUGAGGUACGAAAGCAUGGGGGACAAAC